CGGGCUGUAGCUCAGUUGGCUAGAGCGCCUGGUUUGGGACCAUGAGGCCGUGGGUUCAAGUCCCACCAGCCCGACAA
rnacentral:tRNA from 1 species